rnacentral:sRNA from 1 species
ACUUCUCUCUGAUUUUGGAUUUUUUUUUUUUUUUUUUUUGUCUUUUCUUGAGCAUAUGUACACGCAUUGUUAUUCUUCAGAUUUUGGAUGUUUAGCAAAUAAGAUAUUCAA